CGAUCGGACAAGUUCAAGUCGCAGACGGUACCCGGGCGGCCCCUCAAGCCAAAUGAGCAGCUUGCUUCUCUUAAUAACGGCGGACGGGUGAGUAAUGCCUAGGAAUCUGCCUGGUAUUGGGGGAUAACGUUCGGAAACGGACGCUAAUACCGCAUACGUCCUACGGGAGAAAGCAGGGGACCUUCGGGCCUUGCGCUAUCAGAUGAGCCUAGGUCGGAUUAGCUAGUUGGUGGGGUAAUGGCUCACCAAGGCGACGAUCCGUAACUGGUCUGAGAGGAUGAUCAGUCACACUGGAACUGAUACACGGUCCAGACUCCUACGGGAGGCAGCAGUGGGGAAUAUUGGACAAUGGGCGAAAGCCUGAUCCGCCAUGCCGCGUGUGUGAAGAAGGUCUUCGGAUUGUAAAGCACUUUAAUUUGGGAGGAAGGGUUGUAGAUUAAUACUCUGCAAUUUUGACGUUACCGACAGAAUAAGCACCGGCUAACUCUGUGCCAGCAGCCGCGGUAAUACAGAGGGUGCAUGCGUUAAUCGGAAUUACUGGGCGUAAAGCGCGCGUAGGUGGUUAGUUAAGUUGGAUGUGAAAUCCCCGGGCUCAACCUGGGAACUGUAUUCAGAACUGACUGACUAUAGUAUGGUAGAGGGUGGUGGAAUUUCCUGUGUAGCGGUGAAAUGCGUAGAUAUAGGAAGGAACACCCUUGGCGAAAGCUACCACCUGGACUGAUACUGACACUGAGGUGCCAAAGUGUGAUGAGCAGACAGGAUUAGAUACCCUGGUAGUCCACGCCGUAACGAUGUCAACUAGCCGUUGCGAGCCUUGAGCUCUUCAUGCGCAGCUACGCUGUAAGUCAGCGCCUGGGGCAGUACGCCGCAUGG
rnacentral:rRNA from 1 species